UACAGAGGGGGCAAGCGUUGUUCGGAAUUACUGGGCGUAAAGGGCGCGUAGGCGGCCUGCUAAGUCGAACGUGAAAUCCCCGGGCUCAACUGGGGAGGGUCACGCGAUACUGCUCGACUCGAAGGCAGGAGAGGGAAGUGGAAUUCCCGGUGUAGUGGUGAAAUGCGUAGAUAUCGGGAGGAACACCAGUGGCGAAGGCGACUUCCUGGCCUGUUCUUGACGCUGAGGCGCGAAAGCUAGGGUAGCAAACGGG
rnacentral:rRNA from 1 species